CCUAGCCUCUCUCUCUCUCAGUCCUCGCUCUUUCUUUCGUGAACCUCUCUUUCCAUCAAGUCUAGCCAUCUGCAAGCGUUUAACGAUAGCCAACAAGAUUGGACUUUGCGACUCGACUCGUUUUUCAACUCGUUUCAGGGGUUCUCGAGCCUCUCAUCGUCGCCAUGAAGACCUCGACAUGUAGCAACAGAUUCAUUCAGUGCCAGUCUUCGUCCAAGAUCCACCAGUUUAGGUUGAAUGACAAGGCAUUGCCGGUGAAGGAUGGCGGGAAUGAGGCCUACUUGAUUUGGCUGUUAAGAUUAGAGCUUUUUGGGUCUAAUUUCAAUUCUUUUCUGCUCCUGCAGGUGGCGUUGCCAAUAUGGACGACGGGAAUUUUCUGGGCCUAACUUCCCAAACCUUAGCGCUCCCAAUUCUUCCACCAUGCCAUGGAUGGCGUAGCUGGGCCUGGGCUACUUCGAUCUAGCGUCAGCAACUCAGUUAAGUGGGUUUAUUUCUUUGUGCUUAUAAUUCAAAUUGAAUAUUGCACAGAUGAAACCGCUCAGAUUCUGGUUCAGUUUUUAGAGGUGGCAAUCACAUCAAUCGUUUUCCUCAAGGAAUUUAUCCUGCAGGUUGAAGGUGCUGUUGAGAGAAGGAAGAAUAUGAAUUUGGUUGUUUAUAUAGCUCGGCACUUUGAGCUCAGAGAUUAUAUCCAUUCUGCUGUCUCAGGACUUCUUCCUUUUAUCAAAAAUGUGGGUCCUUUGGGAACAAAUUCCUUUACUUUUGUUUUUGUUUUUUCUUCGUAAUAUAUUGUCUUUUGUAAUGAGACGUGAUGUGAUGAGUUCCGCUUUCUAUGAUGAGAAGGUCUAAGCCGCCAACAAGCUUGUUUGAAAUUUUGAAUUUGAGAUUGAAGGGUUGCAGACUGAAUAUUGUUUGGUCGAAGAAAUAAUUUUAGAUAUGGGGGUCUAGGGUUAUAGAUCUAUCCCAGGUAGCUAAUCCAAUCUUCAGAUUGAAAAUGAGUAUGGACCCAUGCAAUACGAAAUUGGUGCACCUGGUAGAGCGUACACUGACUGGGCAGCUCAAAUCGUUGUGGGACUAAACACUAGUUUCCCCUGGGUCCUGUGCAAACAAGAUGAUGCCCCGGCCUGAUCCUGUUUGGGGUUGCUACUCAAUGGUGUGUCUUCUUAGAGAUCGUCAUGGUUGACAUGAAUAAUGAUUCUUCAUUGCACAUGAUUAACGCUUGAUAUGGCUUCUAUUGUGACUACUUCUCUCCAAACAAGGCUUAUAAACCAAAGAUAUGGACUGAAGCCUAGACUGGAUGGUUUACUGAGAUAUAUUGGAGGUGUAGUUCCUUACCGACCAGCUGAGGGUUUGGCAUUUUCAGUUGCGAAGUUUAUACAAAAGGUGGAUCAUUCAUUAACUAUUAUAUGGUAAGGUUAUAUUAUAGAAGUUACCAAGUUAAAUCAUAUUCCUGAACAUCUCAAUAAAUGUAAUUGCAUGUUUUUAUGAUUCCAAUACCAUGGAGGAACAAAUUUUGGGCAAAUUGCUAGCUGGUGGUCUUUUCAUCGCUGCUAGUUAUGAUUACGAAGCUCCUAUGGAUGAAUAUGGAAUGUUGGGGCAACCUAAAUGGGGCCAUUUGAAAGUAAUGUGGUUCUGUUCAAAACUGAUGGUUUUUAGAAGGUAAAGAAGGUUAGUUCUUAGGACAAUGUGUGAAAAAUUUGUUAGGACAAGGGUGUUAAGGAAAGAACUUGGAAGUUUGAAACAGAGGAGAUGUUUUGAGUUUAGAAACAGAGUAGGUAGGAUGUAUGAAAGGAAAACAGAGGAGAGGUUGGUUUGUAUAUAUUGAGAACGGGGGAGCUUUUGAUUAUAGAGGAGCUUUGAUGAUUGUUGUUUUCCCUUAAUU
rnacentral:lncRNA from 1 species